AUUGAACGCUGGCGGCGGGCCUAACACAUGCAAGUCGAGCGGAUGAAGGGAGCUUGCUCCUGGAUUCAGCGGCGGACGGGUGAGUAAUGCCUAGGAAUCUGCCUGGUAGUGGGGGAUAACGUCCGGAAACGGGCGCUAAUACCGCAUACGUCCUGAGGGAGAAAGUGGGGGAUCUUCGGACCUCACCCUAUCAGAUGAGCCUAGGUCGGAUUAGCUAGUUGGUGGGGUAAAGGCCUACCAAGGCGACGAUCCGUAACUGGUCUGAGAGGAUGAUCAGUCACACUGGAACUGAGACACGGUCCAGACUCCUACGGGAGGCAGCAGUGGGGAAUAUUGGACAAUGGGCGAAAGCCUGAUCCAGCCAUGCCGCGUGUGUGAAGAAGGUCUUCGGAUUGUAAAGCACUUUAAGUUGGGAGGAAGGGCAGUAAGUUAAUACCUUGCUGUUUUGACGUUACCAACAGAAUAAGCACCGGCUAACUUCGUG
rnacentral:rRNA from 1 species